rnacentral:lncRNA from 1 species
UGGCCAAUAUUAUAUAGCUGUUGUUGUUUACAUUAUAUAUUAAUUAUCUAAUCUAUAAAAUCCAUGUGUUCUCUUUACUUGGGAUUCUGCCUUAAGGAUUCUCAUAAGCUUGUAAUGACAUAAAAUUACAGCUACAUUCUCAUUAGAAAGUUGAAGAAACCAUGUAUCUAGGCUAUUUCACAUUUGAAUUUUGUCCUUGUUGAACUUUCUAAUCUAUAGUCUGUAUAUAAAUUUAAACAUCUUUACAACAAACAUGGUACAGAUUUCUGUCUUUUGACAAGUUUUCUCUAAACACUCAAGACAAAAGCGAUGACUAGUGCUUUAAAAGUGGAACUUCCUGAAAUUAAAAGACAGACUCUUUUGCACUGACUCUCACAUUAUACUAUGCUUUAUUUCUCUGUUAUAUACAGAAUUCAUCAGUGUAAAGGCAGGCUUCAUAAUUAAAUGUAAAAAUUGAGGAGUUUGCACCAAUCUGCUAAGAACUCUAUUAAACUCCUCCCUUUAUAUGUAAAUUUGUGCCCAGAUGUUGCAUCGUUUGCAAAUCUCGCAAUUAAAGCAUUUUAUAACUUCAGUUAUGCAAAGGAGCAGUAGACUGGAAAAUGGGUAAAAUUGCUUGGCUAGGACAUUACCAUGGCAACAUACUGACCUGCACUCAAUUAGUUACCACUGAAGAUUCAGCUAUUAAUUAUAGUGGUCAGAAGUGGAUAUCAUCUGAUUUUCCUUUCCCUUUUAAAUAUGGACAUUUUUCAUUCUCCAUAAAUCUUUGACUUUUAGAGGCAAGGCUCCCAAACUGAAGUGUUAAAAGUGAUAUUGCUUAGUCGCUGAUGGAAGUGAGGGUCAGAAAGGGAGUUUCAUUUAUCAGCCAUAUUGAGGGGAGUUCUUCAACUUUCUGAAAUGUAAGCACUCUGUCGGGCACGCUUCAAAGUGAAUGUUCAUUACUGUUCAUUUUCUGCACUGAACCCUUUGCAUUACAUGUGUUACCAAUUACCUCUCACUUUAGAAAGCCAUCAUUAAUUAGUACCACGGUAAUCACUGAGAGGCCUAUGAAAUAGAUAGAUGUCCCAUUUUGGGUUGAGUCGUACAGAUUCCAGCGAAGAAGUUAUUAUUUUCUUGGCAGAGAAUAAAAGGAAUGUUGAGUUAAUUACAGAAGUACUCCGUGAAUGAUGAAAAUACAUCCUUAGCUAGCGUGGUAUUGCAGACUCCAUGAUAAGAAGGUUGUAUGCAAUGUUGUUACAGUGUGAGCUUUACUACUGCAACCAUAGUCCAAAAUAAUAUACAUGCUCGUUCGUACAUCCAAAAGUAAUAAUUGGCCAUUGGAAUGUAUCAACACUACAUGAAUUUGUGCCUUCACAUUAAAUUAUUUAAGUAUGGGUAUAUAACACACUUUUCAGCCUCCUGGGGAUACAGGGAUAUGCAUGGUGGCAAGAUCUCUGCUGACUGGAAAAACAAGAGGAAGUAACUAAAUAAACAGAAAGUAUAAGUUCAUAAAUGU